UAUUCACCUGUUCAUAUCUUAAUUGUAUGUAGAAAACAAUGUUUAUGAGGAAUGAUCAUGAAGCUCAGAUCAAAGCAUUGAGGUGUGAACUUGAAGAUGAGUGUCGGAAGCUGGAAGAGGAGUUGCAUCUUCAAAAAUCCAAAGAAGACAGGCAAAGGGCUUUGUUGCAGUUGCAGUGGAAAGUGAUGAGUGACAAGUCCAAA